rnacentral:rRNA from 1 species
AUGGAUACCACAGUAGCAGAUCCAAUACCUCAUGGCAAUGAAACUGUUCAGAAUGAGUCAAAGUUGCAAGAAGAGGUUUAUGAGGAACCUACUCUGAUUGACGCUAAGUUGAGACAACAAGAUAUGGAGAAAUUCACUUGUGUUAGUCAGCUAUCUGACUGGCGGAAUUUAGUCGUGUCACCAAUUGCCCACACUUGUGUUACAACUGUAUCUGGACUAUUUGUGAAGAAGAAAUCAUUAGCUCCACCAGUGGUUACCUCUAUCACAGUUAAAGAGAGUAUUUCAGAGAAGAAUAGUGAAGAUGAGAUUCCAACUCGUGCACAUACAAUUAAGCAAGUCGGAGACAUUUCAAGGAGAGAGAUACAAGAGGUUGAGUUAAAUUUAGAAGAGUUGAUACUUCAAUAUCCUGAGAAGAUCCCAUGUGUUGCUGAGCUGCAUGACUGGUGGAAGUCAUCGGUGUCACUGUUGAAACUUAGCAAUGAUGGUGAUGAGGAGAACAUUGCUCAGGAAGACAGCGAGGUAGUGAUCUCAGCACCCCUACCAGAUCAUGUUAGUGAAUAUUCACAGAUGGGGACACUUCAGACUCAAUUAAGUGUUGCUGGUAGUAGCACCAUAGAAGAUCCAGAGGAAGAGAGACCUCAGAUUGAAGAUGUACUCGAAGCUAAUGCAGAAGACGAUCCAGAGAUCGAACAACCAAGUAAUCAAGUUGAAUACUCUUCAUCUACUACUCUUGAAGAAGCAAAAGAAGCUGCUGUAGAUGAACUUGAAGAACCAGAAAUUCAUUUGCCUAUUGUCACAUAA